rnacentral:rRNA from 1 species
UUUUCGCAAUGCCCGAAAGGGUGACGAAGCGACGCCGCGUGGGUGAGGAAGGCCUUCGGGUUGUAAAGCCCUGUCAGGAGUUAAGAAAUGUAGGCUCGCUAAUAUCGGGUCUAUUUGACGAAGGCUCCAAAGGAAGCCACGGCUAACUCUGUGCCAGCAGCCGCGGUAAUACAGAGGUGGCAAGCGUUGUUCGGAAUUAUUGGGCGUAAAGAGCACGUAGGUGGAUUUGUAAGUCAGAUGUGAAAGCCUUCUGUUCAACGGGAGAAUUGCAUCUGAAACUACAGACCUUGAGUAUAGGAGGGGAGAAUGGAACUUCUGGUGGAGCGGUGAAAUGCGUAGAUAUCAGAAGGAACGCCGGCGGCGAAAGCGAUUCUCUGGCCUAUUACUGACACUCAGUGUGCGAAAGCUAGGGGAGCAAACGGGAUUAGAUACCCCGGUAGUCCUAGCCGUAAACGAUGGGCACUAAGUAGAGGGGUUUUAA